GACGUAGGGCGCGAGCGUUGUCCGGAUUUAUUGGGCGUAAAGAGCUCGUAGGCGGCUUGUCGCGUCGACUGUGAAAACCCGCGGCUCAACUGUGGGCUUGCAGUCGAUACGGGGAGGCUGGAGUUCGGUAGGGGAGACUGGAAUUCCUGGUGUAGCGGUGAAAUGCGCAGAUAUCAGGAGGAACACCGGUGGCGAAGGCGGCUUUCUGGGUUACUACUGACGCUGAGGAGCGAAAGCGUGGGGAGCGAACGGG
rnacentral:rRNA from 1 species